GAGUUUGAUCAUGGCUCAGAUUGAACGCUGGCGGCAGGCCUAACACAUGCAAGUCGAGCGGUAGAGAGAAGCUUGCUUCUCUUGAGAGCGGCGGACGGGUGAGUAAUGCCUAGGAAUCUGCCUGGUAGUGGGGGAUAACGCUCGGAAACGGACGCUAAUACCGCAUACGUCCUACGGGAGAAAGCAGGGGACCUUCGGGCCUUGCGCUAUCAGAUGAGCCUAGGUCGGAUUAGCUAGUUGGUGAGGUAAUGGCUCACCAAGGCGACGAUCCGUAACUGGUCUGAGAGGAUGAUCAGUCACACUGGAACUGAGACACGGUCCAGACUCCUACGGGAGGCAGCAGUGGGGAAUAUUGGACAAUGGGCGAAAGCCUGAUCCAGCCAUGCCGCGUGUGUGAAGAAGGUCUUCGGAUUGUAAAGCACUUU
rnacentral:rRNA from 1 species